rnacentral:rRNA from 1 species
UACGGAGGGGGCUAGCGUUGUUCGGAAUUACUGGGCGUAAAGCGCGCGUAGGCGGCUUUGUAAGUUAGAGGUGAAAGCCCGGAGCUCAACUCCGGAAUUGCCUUUAAGACUGCAUCGCUAGAAUCAUGGAGAGGUGAGUGGAAUUCCGAGUGUAGAGGUGAAAUUCGUAGAUAUUCGGAAGAACACCAGUGGCGAAGGCGACUUAC